AACAGGUAAAUACUAGUAGUAAAUAGUACUGUUAACAGAAUCCAAUGUGCAAAAUCCCAGAAAUAGGAUACGGUGCACAAUCGGUCUGGACCACUGUUCGACCUGUUUUGCAAAUUCAUGCAACUGCAAGGACCUUGAUGCACAAUGUCGAAGGGAUAAGGUUCCUUAUCCUCUUGUUUUCAUGUGCGGAUAUGAAAUCCCAAUGGGGAAUUUUUCUAUGCCACAGCAGCCAUUCGAGACAGGCUCGCCGGCCGGAGGUGCCUCUGCUUCCGUUGGGUACAACGGGCGCGAGCGCCGCGCGGGGGAAGGGGACCCUCAACGACGGCCUGGAAGGCUGCGCCAUGGCCGGAGGGAGGAGAGACCGCGGGGCGCGCGCUUCAGCCAGCGCCGGCCAGAGGCCGCCAUCAUGCCUUCUGCAAGUGAGGCCUUGGUCGCAGGCGCUACGUCAGAUGCAGGUGGGCGUUGCUGUGGAGGAACGGCCGGGGACCUCGUUAUCCGCUGAGAAGCGGCCGCGCCGUCACGGCCAGUCGCGCUCACGCAGUCUGUAGCCGUAGCGCGGACGGAGAGGGCCGACGUGCUUCUUGCCGGCCGUAGGCCGCUCGUGCCGUUCAAAAUCGACAGCGUCGAUCCAUUAAGAGACUGCUCUAGAUUUCAGUAUGGUACAACCUUGAUGAGCCGAUGUACUGAGGUAUUUUUUCAUAAUAGUUUUGAAUGGUUCCGAAAAAGAGUACUUGAACGGAUGUCUGUAUGGUUUUGUACUGAGCGUGUUUUCACGUACUAGACUUUACUUUAUAUUUUUAAUAUAAUUUUCCUCGUAACUUCUCAAUGGUAUCAUCAAGCCCGAACUUGCAUAGUUUAUACCAUUAAACUGAAUGAUUUUUUAAUAAAAUGAAAAUGUUUUGUUUUUUCUUUUGAACUCAACAUUGUUUUGCUACAAUAUGCUGGACUUCUCUCAUUUUACCACUUGAACUUUUACCAUUUUGAAUUUCCAUGGUUUUUUUGUUUGAGCUUUUUUUUCCAAACUUGAUGUCGUGUCCAAUUUUUUUUCUGUACUUAUAUGCUAGUAUAAUAAUAUAACAUUUCCAUUACAAUUUUUGUCCAUUCAUGGACAUCAACCAAAAUGGGCAGGAGAGAGCACUAUCGAACUGAUCAUUGUUUUCGACCGAACUAUUGUGUUCUUUUCUAAGAACUGAACAUGUAAUACAUAUUGAAGGGCCACACAUGUAUGAUAUAAUGAACUGUAGGGUCUUAAAAGUGCAACGACAGUACAUCUAUAAAGCUCCAUAAGAUCGCAUGAAGCCUCUGCCAAAUGAAAUAUACAAAAUACUGAAAAAACUUCACACUUUUGCACGAAGGGCAUACUUCCUGACAUGCUCGACGAGACCCAUUGAAAUUGCGCAAUUCACGUGUGGGAGCAAGCAACAACUUUGAAGUAUGCAAUUUGGAAAGCUCAUAAAGUAAAACAUGGCAUCUUGUUUUUUUCCAGAAAAACAACAGGAGCACAUCCGCAUAGUUAUUCAUCUCCACAUCAAUAAUAAUUGGCCACCAAAAACCUGACAAAUGUUUUUUUUUUCUGAAAACACACAACACAUUUUUCGAAUGCAUCAGUACAAGCUGACAUUUUCAGUUUUCAGAAGCAAUCAAACUUGCUAAUUAGUAGAGUACUCGUGUACUUACUGGGACCACACAUAUCCUAAUAUUAGUAUUCAUGUACUUACUACGGCCUACACUCAGCUCCUUGAGCGACCGGCCACAAAACAAGAAGUUGUACUGUUGAGCAGGAGGUCCUCGACCCCGUGACUCCUCCAGCAGGUUCCACUAUUUUCCGCUGAAGCAUAAGCCAUGCCGUUGGAGUGGGACGCGUCCACACGGCGACAACUUUAGAAACUGGUUCUAUAGAAAAGAUUUUUCAUUAAAUGGCCACAACUUUCAGUGGCUAAUUGAAAGCAAAGUCAUAUUAUGAGUGGCUAAUGGGUUAAGAAAGCUUUUGAAGAAAAAUGAAAGCAGAGGCUAGCUAGCACCUUCGCGCACCCCACGACGUGACCCUUGGAGUUCAACCUGGAAAUGGGGCCGAAAAGGCUCGCGCCGCACUUCGCGACCAUCGAGCGCCAUACCCGGCGGCAUUGCCUUGUGGUUGGCCCGGCGCCCGGCUCGCCGACAGACUUCAGUUCAGGUUGGAUUCAUCAAAAACAUAAAUGAAGCAUGUGUUCUUUUUCUAUUCUUGCAAAUGAAGCUCCACUUAUGUUCUGUUUGAUAAUUCUGUAUUCUAUUCUGUUUUGAACUAAAGUGUGCGGAUGAAUUGAACUUCUCCGAUACAUAUUUCACUGAACCUAGUCCUCCAGAAUGUUUAUUCUUUUUAGUUAUGUUGGCAUGAGGCUAUGAAAUACAUCACAGCAAUUGUUUUUUGGGUGAGUUUCAAAAAACAUAAUACUAUGUGAACAAUACAACCUGACCUAACUAGAUAUGCAACAUGCAGUACACAUGUACGGUGUCUCAACUUUUCACAAAAAACUGCAGCUGUACUAUCAUCUAUUGAAAAUGAAUCACAGAAAUAAUGGAGAAGACUUAGUUAAAAUGUGAACACCUUGUCCAGUUUUGAUCAAAUUGAGAUCACAAAGAACACUCGCUGCUUUCUCUACAGAGUCCAGGUUAUAGCAAAAAUGAUCAAGACAUAAGAACAGUGAUCACUUGUACUGCCUGGAAAAUAACAAGCAAACUUAUAGCAUUUGAUCAUUCGAACUUGUCACAAUAGAAAUAGAGAAUUAUGUACACGGAUACAACUUGCAUCAUCAAACUUUAGAGUUCUUUUAACUCCAGAAUGCUUCCACAGGACAUUCAAAACCCAAAAGCAAAAUAAAAAAAUUAGUGUAAUGUUUGUAAAACUUAGUUAAAGUAGAAUUACUUUUGUUUUAUAACACUACAUACUUGAGUGCUUGUGCCCGUUUAAAUCUGAAUAAAAAGAAUAUCAUUAUCUUAGGACUUUAUCCGGUUUUCAUCACUAGUACACAGUUUCCGUACGUGUUGUUCUCCCAUAGGCAUUAACACAAGCACCAUGCGUGCUAGGAAGAACAGGGCACUUGAAUCAGAAUUGACACCGAAGAAACUCGCUGCAAAUCACUACUUAUUCAGAAAAGCACACUCCUAGGCACGCAGGCGAAGCCGUUUCAAGCUACAACCAACAUCAGCAGGAAUUCAAGCGAAAGGCACUGAGGUAAUAGGAAAUGAACAUAUGACGAAGAAUUGAACAUAAAAGAAAAUAUUUUUGGAGAAGGAAGAAGAUGUCAGGAGGAUCUGGUGAACCUGCUACGCAUACUCCUGCGGACUUACGGUUCCGGUGAAGUGGAGCUGAUGGAAGAGGGGAUCACGAGCAGCGGCGGGAUGGUCGGCACUGGAGCUCGUGGUGAAGUGGACUCGUGGUGCGGCGGCAAUGUUGGCGGCUGGCAGUGGGCGACGGAGGUAGGCAGUGGGCGAUGUUGUUCUUCGGUAUUAAAAACUGUUUUCUACAUUAACAACAAACACCUAAAGAGCAUCAUGUUUUCUGCAUGUAUAUAUGAACUUUUGAAUAGAACUUACCAGCCAUCCACACUUGCACUGAAGACAUUUAAAUGAACGCAAAAUGAACCUCCUAGCAUUUAUUUUGUGAACUUUUCACAAGGUACACAUGUUUCCCUAAAUUUGCAAGUUGAUUUUCUGAACUUUGAUCUUAUAUGGAACAAAAGGUGAAGGAUUCUGGACUGAAGAAAUAAUCCAAAGGAGCAAAACAAGAAGCGCAAACUAGUGCACAAUUCAAACUACCAUCAAACCUUUUUACUGAACGGAUGAGACGAGAUGCUGCAGGAGCAAAACCUCUCUCCCUGCCUUAACAAAAAGUAAUGGGGGCUAAACUUUGUGUUUCUCUCGAACAAAAACUGACAUUCUCAACUCAUGAAAUAAACUACAGGAGCAAAAGCUGAAGUGUGACCUA